rnacentral:rRNA from 1 species
GAUCCUGGCUCAGGAUGAACGCUAGCUACAGGCUUAACACAUGCAAGUCGAGGGGCAGCAUUUUAGUUUGCUUGCAAACUGAAGAUGGCGACCGGCGCACGGGUGAGUAACACGUAUCCAACCUGCCGAUAACUCUGGAAUAGCCUUUCGAAAGAAAGGUUAAUACCUGAUGGCAUACGAAUAUCGCAUGAUAUUUUUAUUAAAGAAUUUCGGUUAUCGAUGGGGAUGCGUUCCAUUAG